CAUUUUACGGCCAUAAAGCUGGAAUUCCGCACGAUUCUCAUAUUUUCGUGUUCUAUAUCCCACGCCUUCCGCCGUCGGCCUGAGACCCCGGACCCGGAUCGCCUAAAGGUUUUCCAGGAUAUUGAAUACGACCUAAGCAACCAUAUUCACUGCCUCUCCAUGACCAAAUAAAGUUGUUUGGCAUUUUACCGCCAUAAAACUGGAAAUCCACGCGAGUCCCAAAUUUUUGUGUGCUAUAGCCCACGCCUUCUGCCGUGGGCCCGGGACCCCGGAUCCGGAUCGCCUAAAAUUUUUCUGAGUUGUUGAAUACAACCUAAGAAACCAUAAUCACUGCCCCUCUAUGACCAAAUUACAUUUUUGGCAUUUUACAGCCAUAAAACUGGAAUUCCACACGAUUCCCAAAUUUUCGUAUUCUAUAGCCCACGCCUUUCGCCGUGGGCCUGGGACCCCAGAUCCGGAUCGCCUAAAAUUUUUUCAGGAUGUCGAAUGUGGCCUAAGAAACCAUAAUCACUCCCCCGCCAUGACCAAAUUAUAUUUUUUGGCAUUUUACGUUUUAUAAAAUUGGAAUUCUGCACGAUUCCCAUAUUUUCGUGAUCUAUAGCCCACGCCUUCCGCUGUGGGCCCGGGACCCUAGACCCGGAUCGCAUAAAAUUUUUUCGGGACGUUGAAUACGGCCUAAGGAACUAUAUUCACCGCCCUUACGUUUUUUGGCAUUUUAGGCCCAUAAAACUGGAAAUCCGCGCGAGUCCCAAAUUUUCAUGUGCAAUAGCCCUCGCCUUCCGCCGUCGGCCUGAGACCUCAGACUUGGAUCGCCUAAAAGUUUUCUGGGACUUCUACUACAGCCUAAGAAACCAUAGUCACCGCUACUCUAUGACCAAAUUACUUUUUUUGGCAUUUUACGGCCAUAAAACUGGAAAUCCGCGCGAUUCCCAUAUUUUCGUGUUCUAUAUACCACGCCUUCCGCCGUGGGGCCGAGACCCCGGAUCCGGAUCGCCUAAAAUUUUUCCGGGAUGUUGAAUAUGGCCUAAGGAGCCAUAUUCACCACCCCGCCAUGACANNNNNNNNNNNNNNNNNNNNNNGCCCACGCCUUCCGCCGUGGGCCAGGGACCCCGGAUCCGGAUCGCCUUAAAUUUUUCUGGGAUGUUGAAUAUGGCCUAAGGAACAAUAGUCACCACCCCUACAUGACCAAAUUACAUUUUAUGGCCAUAAAACUGGAAUUCCACACGAUUCUCAUAUUUUCGUGUUCUAUAUCCCAUGCCUUCCGCCGUCGGCCUGAGACCCCCGACCCGGAUCACCUAAAAGUUUUCCGGGAUGUUGAAUACGGCCUAAUAAACCAUAUUCACCGCCCCACCAUGACCAAAUAAAGUUUUUUGGCAUUUUACGGCCAUAAAACUGGAAAUCCGCGCGAGUCCCAAAUUAUGUGUGCUAUAGCCCACGCCUUCCGCCGUGGGCCCGGGACCCCGGAUCC
rnacentral:lncRNA from 1 species